GACGAACGCUGGCGGCGUGCUUAACACAUGCAAGUCGAACGGAAAGGCCCUGCUUUUGUGGGGUGCUCGAGUUGCGAACGGGUGAGUAACACUUGAGUAACCUGCCCUUGACUUUGGGAUAACUUCAUGAAACUGGGGCUAAUACCGGAUAGGAGCUCCUGCUUCAUGGUGGGGGUUGGAAAGUUUCGGCGGUUGGUGAUGGACUCGCGGCUUAUCAGCUUGUUGGUGGGGUAGUGGCUUACCAAGGCUUUGACGGGUAGCCGGCCUGAGAGGGUGACCGGCCACAUUGGAACUGAGAUAAGGCCCAGACUCCUACGGGAGGCAGCAGUGGGGAAUAUUGCACAAUGGGCGGAAGCCUGAUGCAGCAACGCAGCGUGCGGGAUGACGGCCUUCGGGUUGUAAACCGCUUUCGCCUGUGACGAAGCGUGAGUGACGGUAAUGGGUAAAGAAGCACCGGCUAACUACGUG
rnacentral:rRNA from 1 species